rnacentral:tRNA from 1 species
AUAGCUUACUUGAGUACCUACAUGGCAUGCAGGGGGUCAGCGGUUCGAGUCCGCUUGGCUCCA